rnacentral:rRNA from 1 species
GCUUCCUCUGAUUCAGCGGCGGACGGGUGAGUAAUGCCUAGGAAUCUGCCUGGUAGUGGGGGACAACGUUUCGAAAGGAACGCUAAUACCGCAUACGUCCURGGGAGAAAGCAGGGGACCUUCGGGCCUUGCGCUAUCAGAUGAGCCUAGGUCGGAUUAGCUAGUUGGUGAGGUAAUGGCUCACCAAGGCGACGAUCCGUAACUGGUCUGAGAGGAUGAUCAGUCACACUGGAACUGAGACACGGUCCAGACUCCUACGGGAGGCAGCAGUGGGGAAUAUUGGACAAUGGGCGAAAGCCUGAUCCAGCCAUGCCGCGUGUGUGAAGAAGGUCUUCGGAUUGUAAAGCACUUUAAGUUGGGAGGAAGGGCAUUAACCUAAUACGUUAGUGUUUUGACGUUACCGACAGAAUAAGCACCGGCUAACUCUGUGCCAGCAGCCGCGGUAAUACAGAGGGUGCAAGCGUUAAUCGGAAUUACUGGGCGUAAAGCGCGCGUAGGUGGUUUGUUAAGUUGGAUGUGAAAGCCCCGGGCUCAACCUGGGAACUGCAUUCAAAACUGACAAGCUAGAGUAUGGUAGAGGGUGGUGGAAUUUCCUGUGUAGCGGUGAAAUGCGUAGAUAUAGGAAGGAACACCAGUGGCGAAGGCGACCACCUGGACUGAUACUGACACUGAGGUGCG